GUUCAGUCAGUCAGUCCAACGGUGUUCAGCACUCUGUCAAGUUCGCAGCUCCACCUUAAUGGUGCUGCUUCACUCUGCUACUGGUGGUGGAUCAGGCUGACUGCAACCGUUGGUCUAACGUUAGGAUGCAGCACACGAAAAUUUCUAAACGGGAAAAAAGUGAAUAAAUGUACUUGCUUUUCAAACUGAUAA